ensembl:lncRNA
UCUAAAGUUACCAUGUUUGUUUCAGCAGAGGAGGAACACAUUGUUGAGAUGAUGACAAUAUAGUUAAAGUAUACAUCAAUAUAUUUUAUAACUUUUUUCUGACAUUUAUUGAUCAAAAUACAGUCUUUGUAAAUGGAUUUCCAAAAGUAGAAAUGGUUACAAAUAAUAACAUUUUACUAAAACUCUCCUGUCUCUGUGUCAGUUUAAUGGUGUCAUCAUUUCAGUUUGGGUCUGUUGUGUUGAGGGUUUGGUAGGUGGAGUCUUGGGUUGUUGAGUUGAGGGUUUGGUAGGUGGAGUCUUGGGUUGUUGUAUUGAGGGUUUGGUAGGUGGAGUCUUGGGUUGAUGUGUUGAGGGUUUGGCAGGUGGAGUCUUGGGUUGUUGUGUUGAGGGUUUGGUAGGUGGAGUCUUGGGUUGUUUUGUAGGUGGAGUCUUGGGUUGUUGUAUUGAGGGUUUGGUAGGUGGAGUCUUGGGUUGUUGUGUUGAGGGUUUGGUAGGUGGAGUCUUGGGUUGUUGUGUUGAGGGUUUGGUAGGUGGAGUCUUGGGUUGUUGUGUUGAGGGUUUGGUAGGUGGAGUCUUGGGUUGCUGUGUUGAGGGUUUGGUAGGUGGAGUCUUGGGUUGCUGUGUUGAGGGUUUGGUAGGUGGAGUCUUGGGUUGCUAUGUUGAGGGUUUGGUAGGAGGAGUCUUGGGUUGUUGUGUCUGGAUUGGUGACUGGCCCUGUGGAACACAACAUAUAAAUCAUGUGUGUGUACGUGCAGUGGUGUGGUAGUGGUGUAGUAGUGUAGUGGUGUAGUAGUGUAGUAGUGUAGUGCUGUAGUAGUGUAGUAGAGGUGUAGUAGAGGUGUAGUGGUGUAGU